rnacentral:rRNA from 1 species
UGAACGCUGGCGGCGUGCUUAAGACAUGCAAGUCGAACGAAGCGUUAGCAAUAGCGCUUAGUGGCGAAUGGGUGCGUAACACGUAGGUGACCUACCCCGAAGUGGGGAAUAACAGUCCGAAAGGACCGCUAAUACCGCAUGCGGCCUGGGAUUUUUGAAAGCCCAGGCGAAAGUUGCAAAACGCUUCGGGAGGGGCCUGCGGCCCAUCAGGUAGUUGGUAGGGUAACGGCCUACCAAGCCGACGACGGGUAGGGGACCUGAGAGGGUGGCCCCCCACACUGGCACUGACACACGGGCCAGACUCCUACGGGAGGCGGCAGUCGGGAAUAUUGCUCAAUGGACGAAAGUCUGAAGCAGCAACGCCGCGUGCGCGAUGAAGGCCUUCGGGUCGUAAAGCGCUUUUCGAAGGGAUGAGGAAGGACAGUACCUUCGGAAUAAGUCACGGCUAACUACGUGCCAGCAGCCGCGGUAAAACGUAGGUGGCGAGCGUUAUCCGGAUUUACUGGGCGUAAAGGGCGUGUAGGUGGUUUGGCAAGUCGGGCAUGAAAUCUUUUGGCUCAACCGAGAGAGGCUGUCCGAUACUGCUGGACUUGAGGACGGGAGAGGGUGGUGGAAUUCCGCGUGUAGUGGUGAAAUGCGUAGAGAUGCGGAGGAACACCAGUGGCGAAAGCGGCCACCUGGCCCGGCCCUGACACUGAAACGCGAAAGCUAGGGUAGCGAACGGGAUUAGAAACCCCGGUAGUCCUAGCCAUAAACGAUGUCGACUGGGUGUGCGCGGUGUAAAAGCCGGGCGUGCCGAAGCCAACGCGAUAAGUCGACCGCCUGGGGAGUACGGCCGCAAGGUAAAACUCAAAG